UACGUAGGGUGCAAGCGUUGUCCGGAAUUAUUGGGCGUAAAGAGCUCGUAGGCGGUGUGUCACGUCGGCCGUGAAAAACCUGCAGCUUAACUGUGGGCGUGCGGUCGAUACGGGCAUCACUGGAGUUCGGCAGGGGGAGACUGGAAUUCCUGGUGUAGCGGUGAAAUGCGUAGAUAUCAUUUGGAACGCCAAUGGUGAAAAACAGGUUGCUGGGAGUGUGCUGACGGUGAGACACGAAAAGCCCAGGGGGAGGCAAAACGGGGAUUAGAAAACCCC
rnacentral:rRNA from 1 species